CUGGCAGUAAACGAUGAAUACUCGCUGUUUGCGAUAUACAGUAAGCGGCCAAGCGAAAGCAUUAAGUAUUCCACCUGGGGAGUACGCCGGCAACGGUGAAACUCAAAGGAAUUGACGGGG
rnacentral:rRNA from 1 species